CCUUGUGCUUUAGAUCCUCAUUGAUUGAAUUCGAGUCAUUCGUUUUGUGAAAAAUGUGCCACAUAAUUCGUCCUGAUCCCUGAGCCUGUAGAUCGAUGGAUGAGAGAGGAUCCGUGGAGAAAUGGGUGGACCGGCUGCAAGAGCCAUGCAGAGCCGUGGAAAGAAUGGGAUCGGCUGCAGAUUCCAUGGAGGGCAGAUAGAGCAAGGCCGCUUAGCUGGUUCCAGGGAUGCCGGUGCUAGAUCCGUGAAGAAACAUCAUCGAAGGCGACCCAGUGGGCAUAAGUCUACGUUUGGCUCUUGGCUUGUGUCUUUCAUUGAGAUAAGAUUGUCAAAUCAAUUGCUCCGUCCAUUUAUGGCCAUGAAUCGUCUAACAGGCGAUAUCAGUGUCCUCCUCCUGGGUGAUCCAGGCACUGCAAAAUCCCAAUUUCUAAAGUAUGUGGAGAAAACAGGACACCGAGCGGUAUAUACAACUGGAAAAGGAGCCUCUGCUGUUGGUCUCACUGCAGCAGUUCACAAGGAUCCAGUAGCACGGGAAUGGACACUUGAGGGAGGUGCACUGGUUCUUGCUGAUAGGGGCAUAUGCCUUAUUGAUGAAUUUGACAAGAUGAACGAUCAAGAUAGCCAUGGAGCAACAGAGUAUCAGAAUAUCAAAGGCAGGAAUCAUCACAUCUCUUCAAGCUCGAUGCAGUGUUAUUGCUACAGCAAAUCCAAUAGGCGGAAGGUAGAUUUUAUUACCUGCAUAGUUGCAAGCCAUGUAACCAGUGCCUAUUAUUAAAAAAGUUACUGGAUGUAUUCAUCCUUGAUUUCACAGAUACGAUUCAUUUUGUGUACUUGUAACUUUUUACUAGAUUUGUGCUUAUUGUCAAUUUCAAGAACACUCCUUUUGUUCUGUUUUGUACUUAGCGAUUAUGUUCUUGCAGAAUAUAAACAAUCAUUUGAUAUGUGAGGCAUAUCCACGUUUCGUAUUUGUUUUUUCAAAUAUCACAAGUGAUUUCUUUGUUCUCAGUUUAUCUCCCUUGCUUGUGGGUAGUCUGAGGACACAAGGAGUAUAUUCUGCUGUGCCUCCUCCAGUUCAGGAAUUCAGAUGCCAAUGACACUCCAUGGGAAGCUCAGCUUCGGCAUGAGAGGUGAAGGCCAGCGUAUACAUGUUUUUUUUUCCUUCACUUUAUACCAAUCAAUCAGUAGGAAGUUGGAGUCUGGAGAUUGAGGGGAAGAUUGAAAAACAAAGAGUGAUAUGAAUAGUAUUUAUGCUAAUAAAGUGUUUUUGGAACCAAAUUAUGUAGUAUUUAUGAUUGACAGCCUAUUUUUAAGUGUUUGUGAUAGGCCAAUGAAUUUCAGUUGCAAGAAACUAUGUGUUGGCCAACAUGUCAAAGACAGAAUUGAUCAAAUUGUACUGUACCGAAUAAUUAAUCUAA